GAAUGAAACACUAUCACAUUGAAUGCACCAGUUCUCAUCCGAUUACCAAAGUUAGGCCACAUGGAGCCUACUUUGUAUUUAGAUGGGUGACCACUUGGGAAACCUAGGGGCUGUAAGCC
rnacentral:rRNA from 1 species